GUCCUGGCCUGGAGAAUUCAGGGUCACAGAGUCGGAUGCGACUGAGUGACUUUCACUUUCUUUCUUUUUUCAGCCCAUCAAGCUGGGUGCAAGGUUCUUGGGCCACAGUGAAACGUAGUGAUGGCUUUCAGUGGCACAGAAGGAGCAGGGAGUGUGACUGUCAGCCCCAAAGGCACUGUGGCACGGUAGAAGGAUGCGGGGGUCGCCUCUGGAGCCCAGACACAGGGUCGCCUGAUGGCGGUGGGUGCAGAUUCGUCACAUGGUGAUAAGGAAACAAGAGCUGUAUAAUCUUCUGUCUCCAGCACUGGUUGAGAUCCACGUUCAGUCCACGGGAAUCUGAGUGUGCCCCCUGCUGGGUGCCCGCCUCGCCCACCUGCUGGCUCGUCUCGGCCUGCCGCCCUUGCUUAUCUGGCCCACAGAGCAGACCUCGUCCUGCCUCCCUGCAGGGAUAAUCAUGUUCCUUUCCUCUGGUGUUUUCUUGCUGUCUUGGUCAGCUCACAGAUGUUUCUUAUCACUCUCCGUCUUCGUUUGCAUAUUUGAACAAUGUAAAAAUGGCCCCCCAUGUUCACAUGGAGUGUUUUUUUGCUAUAAACUCAAUGUUUCUUGACUAACGCAGCUUUCUGUAUUUUUUUUCCAUCUGUGCUCUUUCUUAUCUUUUAAUUUUAUGCUCUCCUGAGUUAUUGUGUUUUCUGAUAUCUCUCAUAUGUAACAAGACAUUGCAGCAUUGUUAAAAAAAAAGAAGCAGAAGUCCUGACAUGAGUUCUUGACAUCGUUUUAAUCCUUUCCUCCUUCCCUUUCCUUGCGGGGCUGUAGUUUCUUUUCUUUUCUUUUCUUUUUUAGAAACUGAAGUACAGCUGAUUUGCAAUGUUGUGUUCGUUUUAAGCGUGUAGCACUCUAAUCCGGUGAGUCACUCUUUCUCGGACUCU
rnacentral:lncRNA from 1 species